rnacentral:rRNA from 1 species
GAUGAACGCUGGCGGCGUGCCUAAUACAUGCAAGUCGAGCGAACGGACGAGAAGCUUGCUUUUUUGAUGUUAGCGGCGGACGGGUGAGUAACACGUGGAUAACCUACCUAUAAGACUGGGAUAACUUCGGGAAACCGGCGCUAAUACCGGAUAAUAUUUUGAACCGCAUGGUUCAAAAGUGAAAGACGGUCUUGCUGUCACUUAUAGAUGGAUCCGCGCUGCAUUAGCUAGUUGGUAAGGUAACGGCUUACCAAGGCAACGAUGCGUAGCCGACCUGAGAGGGUGAUCGGCCACACUGGAACUGAGACACGGUCCAGACUCCUACGGGAGGGAGCAGUAGGGAAUCUUCCGCAAUGGGCGGAAGCCUUACGGAGCAACGCCGCGUGAGUGAUGAAGGUCUUCGGAUCGUAAAACUCUGUUAUUAGUGAUGAACAUAUGUGGAAGUAACUGUGCACAUCUUGACGGUACCUAAUCAGAAAGCCACGGCUAACUACGUG